rnacentral:tRNA from 1 species
AAAGCCUUAGCUUAAUGAAAGCGUUUGCUUUGCAUGCAGAUGAUGAGGAUUAAAUUUCCGCAGGUUUUA